CCUCCUUUCUUGGCAUACUCGUUGUUUUCCUGUGCACGUGUGUGUGUAUGUGAUGGAGGAACAAGAAAGUCCAGUGCUAUGUCUUCGGUGCCAGAAAGUCAACAUUCUUCUGGUUCUAUCCUCAAUCGCUGGCACAUUU
ensembl:snoRNA